AUAGGUUAAUGAGGCGAACCGGGGGAACUGAAACAUCUAAGUACCCCGAGGAAAAGAAAUCAACCGAGAUUCCCCCAGUAGCGGCGAGCGAACGGGGAGGAGCCCAGAGCCUGAAUCAGCAUGUGUGUUAGUGGAAGCGUCUGGAAAGGCGCGCGAUACAGGGUGACAGCCCCGUACACAAAAGCGCAUAUGCUGUGAGCUCGAUGAGUAGGGCGGGACACGUGGUAUCCUGUCUGAAUAUGGGGGGACCAUCCUCCAAGGCUAAAUACUCCUGACUGACCGAUAGUGAACCAGUACCGUGAGGGAAAGGCGAAAAGAACCCCGGCGAGGGGAGUGAAAAAGAACCUGAAACCGUGUACGUACAAGCAGUGGGAGC
rnacentral:rRNA from 1 species